CUUUUUGGUCACCUGACUUCCCUUUGGUGUUGCCGAGAUUAUUUGCGGGUUACGCUUCUGAAGCCUCCAUCGCGGCUGGUCGUAGCUGUAGAAGCCUCCUCUGAGCCAUUCUGCUCAUGUUUUAUGACACGGCUUACUUGGAAGCGUGGGCCUUAGUUUUACGCCAAGCUACGCGAACUGAAGUACUGCUGCUUUGCUUUGCUGUGCUUUUACCGUCUGUUCCCGUUGCGAGAUUUCUUUCCCUGCUGCUGCCAGCUUUUACAGUGGACGUCGGCGUGGACAGCGGCCAUAUGCAUGCCGGUUAUGGGAGUCAGCUGGCGUGCAUAUUGAUUGACCGUUAACUUGUAGUCGUGCAGACGGCAAGUUGGAGCAAUACGGCGAUUCCGUUUGCUCCAGAUUUUAGAGUUUUAUCCAGAUUGUAUGUUGUUUUCCUGUUGUUUGAUUUGUAGUUUGGAUUUUUGUUACGCCACUGGCGGGAGGCCCUUUUUCUAGCUGUAGAUGACCAGUGUGGUCCUGCAGUUGGGUUAUCCCCCAGCACUACACAUUAGUUUGUUGUGAUAUAUUAAAAUUUUCUUUGUUUCUUUUAUUCAGAUGCAGAGCGCCGACGUGGAGGAGACCAGGGUGCCUUGGUGGUGGGAUCCUUUGAGUGUACACACCUGCCUUGUUUAGUUUAUUAGUGUGAGUGUGUGAUAGUGUGUUGCACUUGUGUCUUGGUGUGUUCUUUUUUUUUAGUUUGUGUGUGGCAUCCCUGCCCCUCCAUUGGUAAGCCUCAGCUCUGAAUACCUUUUUAAGCAUAUUUGUACAUGAAUAUUUAUGAUUUUGCUUUUAUAUGGUGUUUUAAAUAAUUAUUAAUAAAUUGUCAAUUUGUUUAUCAUUG